rnacentral:tRNA from 1 species
UGGGGAUCUAGCUCAGUUGGUAGAGUGCUUGCCUUGCGUGCACAAGGCCCUGGGUUUAAUCCCCAGAACCACAA